GCACGAAGUUAGCCGUGGCUGCUUCUGGAGGUACCGUCCGAAUGGGUUACCCCAUCCCAUCUUCCCUCCCGAAAGGGGUUUACAAUCCGAAGACCUUCAUCCCCCACGCGGCGUCGCUGCGUCAGGCUUUCGCCCAUUGCGCAAUAUUCCUUACUGCUGCCUCCCGUAGGAGUCUGGCCCGUGUCGCAGUGCCAGUGUGGCUGAUCAUCCUCUCGGAUCAGCUACCCGUCGAAGCCUUGGUGAGCAGUUACCUCACCAACAAGCUGAUAGGGCAUGAGCCCAUCCAAGAGCGCGAUACCCACGGUAUCGCUUUCCUUCCCGAACCGCAGUCCGGGAAGCGUACGCGGUAUUAGCUAACCUUUCGGCUAGUUAUUCCCCACUCGAGGGUAGGUUACCCAUGUAUUCCUCACCCGUUCGCCACUGUACAUGUGUAUUGCUACACAUUCUCGUUCGACUUGCAUGUAUUAGGCGCGCCGCCAGCGUUCGUU
rnacentral:rRNA from 1 species